GUGGAAAGGGUAGCAUUCGAACCAUGGGGAUUCAGAGGACUUUGCCAAUUCUGCCCCUGCCAGAACCUGAGUAAGUUUGGGCUCUGCUUCUGACUUCCAAACUUUGAUGCCUGAACUGCUAUCUAACAUUGGAAAUUUCUUCAGAACCUGGGACUUCCUCACCCUGGAACAACCAUGCUCUCCUAUGACCUUCUCAUAAUGAGAAAACUGAGGCCUUCAAAGACAAAACAACUUGCCAAAUAUCUCACAGCUAGUAAAUAGAAGAUCAGAAGUUAUCUGCCACCAAAUGCAGCAUUCCCUUCAGUGCACCACCUCUCUUCUAGGUUUGAUGGCCUUCCUUCUUCUUCCAGAUAUCUAACUCCUACCGUCCCAUUUCAAAGACAUUAAGUACCUUUAAGCUACCCUCUGCCUGCCUGUCACCAGCUAGGCCUACA